rnacentral:miRNA from 1 species
CUGGGGUUCUGAGACAGACAG